rnacentral:rRNA from 1 species
UGAGGAAUAUUGCACAAUGGGCGCAAGCCUGAUGCAGCAACGCCGCGUGCGGGACGAAGGCCUUCGGGUCGUAAACCGCUUUUCUGGGGAAAGAGCAAGGACGGUACCUCAGGAAUAAGCCUCGGCUAACUACGUGCCAGCAGCCGCGGUAAAACGAAGGAGGCGAGCGUUAUCCGGAUUUACUGGGCGUAAAGCGAACGCAGGCGGCUCUGUGAGUCGGUCGGGAAAGCCCCCGCCAUAACCGGGAGAGGCCGUUCGAUACUGCGG